AGUCCCAGGAAAGUGAAGCAGCCAGGAUGCCAUCUCUACAGGACAUAGGAGCUGUGCCAGUGGAGAUGUCCCUCCCACACAUUAUGGGCAGUUGGGCCUCUCCCAAACACUCACUGGAGAAAAGGGUCAGACCACGGAUCCCAGCAAUGAUGAUCAAAGCUUAGAAAUUGCUCCUCAGAGCUUCUACUGGGGACCGUGUCACUAGUUAGUUAAGACAACAGCCAGAAGAUUCUGUGCCUCAACUUUCCUUCUGUGACAACUGCUCCCUCUUCCCUCUCAAUUUAUGUCUCUAUCCAAAAUAAAUAAAUCUAAAAAUAAAUAAAUAAAAGGAAUGGAUUAAUGCCAACUCA